rnacentral:rRNA from 1 species
GACGAACGCUGGCGGCGUGCUUAACACAUGCAAGUCGAACGGGAAGGCCCUGCUUUUGUGGGGUGCUCGAGUGGCGAACGGGUGAGUAACACGUGAGUAACCUGCCCUUGACUUUGGGAUAACUUCAGGAAACUGGGGCUAAUACCGGAUAGGAGCUCCUGCUGCAUGGUGGGGGUUGGAAAGUUUCGGCGGUUGGGGAUGGACUCGCGGCUUAUCAGCUUGUUGGUGGGGUAGUGGCUUACCAAGGCUUUGACGGGUAGCCGGCCUGAGAGGGUGACCGGCCACAUUGGGACUGAGAUACGGCCCAGACUCCUACGGGAGGCAGCAGUGGGGAAUAUUGCACAAUGGGCGGAAGCCUGAUGCAGCAACGCCGCGUGCGGGAUGACGGCCUUCGGGUUGUAAACCGCUUUCGCCUGUGACGAAGCGUGAGUGACGGUAAUGGGUAAAGAAGCACCGGCUAACUACGUG